GCUACUUUUGCCGGCGAGCCGCGAUAUGGGUGAGUAAUGUCUGGGAAACUGCCUGAUGGAGGGCGAUAACUACUGGAAACGGUAGCUAAUACCGCAUAACGUCGCAAGACCAAAGAGGGGGACCUUCGGGCCUCUUGCCAUCAUAUGUGCCCAGAUGGGAUUAGCUAGUAGGUGGGGUAACGGCUCACCUAGGCGACGAUCCCUAGCUGGUCUGAGAGGAUGACCAGCCACACUGGAACUGAGACACGGUCCAGACUCCUACGGGAGGCAGCAGUGGGGAAUAUUGCACAAUGGGCGCAAGCCUGAUGCAGCCAUGCCGCGUGUAUGAAGAAGGCCUUCGGGUUGUAAAGUACUUUCAGCGGGGAGGAAGGCGUUGAGGUUAAUAACCUCAGCGAUUGACGUUACCCGCAGAAGAAGCACCGGCUAACUCCGUGCCAGCAGCCGCGGUAAUACGGAGGGUGCAAGCGCUAAUCGGAAUUACUGGGCGUAAAGCGCACGCAGGCGGUCUGUCAAGUCAGAUGUGAAAUCCCCGGGCUCAACCUGGGAACUGCAUUCGAAACUGGCAGGCUAGAGUCUUGUAGAGGGGGGUAGAAUUCCGGUGUAGCGGUGAAAUGCGUAGAGAUCUGGAGGAAUACCGGUGGCGAAAGGCGGCCCUCUGGA
rnacentral:rRNA from 1 species